GGUGCGUGCAGGUGACGCAGCUGGUGGAGUUCCUCAUUGACCACCACGAGGAACUCUUUGAGGAGGAGGAGGACGAUGGGCUUGCCGGAGCGUCCGCCGAGGAGUUGCCAGCACCGGAGCCAGAAGCUCAUCCCUCAGAGGUACGUCAGGGCCACAAAGAGGGUGGGACUGCUGCCACAGGAACAAGCAAGGUCCUCCACCCACCAGCCUGCAGCUCUGCAGAAGUUCAGAGCUGAGCUAGAUAUUGGGCAAGUAGGUCCCUGUGCCAUCCUCAUUUCUACAUUUCCCUCGCAGGUGCCUCCAGUCACUCUGGAAAGUGAACACCUGAACAGCGCCUCUGAGGAGAGAGGGUUGCCAGGCUCUUCACCAGUACGCAGGAAGAGAAAACCAUCCUGUGAAGAGCAGAGCGAUGGGCAACCCGAGAGCAAGCGCAGGAAGCUGGCAACAGACCUCUGAGCGACGGGCAACUCAGGAAAUCCAAGCAGGCGGAAAGAACGAGUUGCCCAGGUGGUGAUUUACUUUUGCUGCUUGGAUUUCCUGGAUGAGCUCUGACACCUGGGCUUCCAGGAGCACGAUGCAGCACCAGCACCACCUCGGCGCAGGCGAGGACAGAGACACCGUGCCCUCCUGCUCUGGCCGGCACAUUCCACCCGUGCAGCGCUAACCAGAGCAGCCCCGCAAGGCCCCCAGACCCAUCCCAGCCCUCGCAGAAGGCCCUGCUGGCUCAUCCAUCAGCUCCGUGAGCAGGUGCCCACCAGCUGGAACAUCUCUCUGAGCUGGGGAGCUGGCAUGUGAACUUAAGGGAAUGAGGAGCGAGUUACACAUGGUGGUGCAUAUCAUCUGGGAGGGACAUGAGGAUGCCCGUGCCAGCAUCUUCCAUUCUAUAAAACCCUCCAUCCAGCUUUUCAUUCCACCUACUCAAUCCUUGCAGACCGAUGCUGAACCAACUUGGUCAACACAAGAAGGGAGCACCCAUUGCUUCUCUCUGGUCAGGGCAAGUGCAUUUAUGCAGGAUGCCUGAACUCCUCAUUUGGGGAAAGAAGGUAACGUGUCAGCCAACUGCAGCUGCUUGAGUCCAAACCCAGCCGUGCUGUCCCUACCAAGAGCAGAAACUACAUUCAAAAGUCUUCUGUUAUGGCACAUUUACUAGUAUGCAGUUGCACAUGAUGCAAAAGGCACGUUCUGAGCUGCAAGAAUUUCCUUCAUAUAUGAGGGCAGUAAAACAGACCUUUGAUGUCAUUUUCUCCAGGUUGCAGAAAACUGGUAGCAAAGACUGAAAAGAUUUCCAUACUGCAUUAAUAUAGAAGCAUUUGGAUGGGCAUAUGUCACUAUGGGUCCUUUGCGCCCAUCUCACUGACUUAGAAAGAAUGUGUUAUGUGGAGCUACAUCACACAGGCAAGCUCAGAGCUUUUCCAGGGUUGCCUGGACAGGCAUUCUGGAAUGACGAUAGAUCCACGUGUGUUAACUCUAUUGCCACACCGCUACUUAGCCUGGCAAUUCUCAAGAGGAACUUGCUUUGAGCCCUAUAGAAGGCAAAACUACCAAACCAGUAAAACUCUUAAAAGGGGACGUCCUGAAGAGCCUCCAAGGUCAACUUGUACACGUUUUCCUGGAAGAACAAGCCAAAUGGAGGCAGCGAAUGGUCUGAAAUACAGUUCUCAUAAAUAUGACGGUUACUCAGUAAAGCCUUUUAUUACCAAUGGUCAUUUUGGUGUAUAAAUAAACAAUAUUGAGCGACAUGCUUUAUUAUAAAAUGAAAAUAUGCAAUAAAAAUAGUUGUUAUUCAUAUUAAGCUGUGUUGCUGCACCUGAGAGCACACAAAGACCUCUUAUUUGUUUGGUGUAUUUUGGUGCUUUUAAAAUUUGUCUACUGGCAACGUAGUUCUGCACAAUGAACUAGCUGCAGUCAGGCAUUUUACUGUGGGCGCAACCUGUUGCUUUCAGCAAAUUAAUAUACCAGACACUAUCACUCUCUUUACCGUUUGAUAACAAAUUUUAAAACGUCUCUUUAGCAGAUGCCAUGUAUUAUUUGGAAAUGUCCUACAUUAAUAUAAUGAUUUAAAUAAAAAGUGUUUACUUGCAAUUAACAAAUAUGAGACACAUCUUGUUUUUUAAAUGUCAAAACAUAUUUAACCAAGUACUUUGUACAUUGUAUGUCUUGAACCUUGCAAAUGGAGAUGGCUACAACAAGAAAUAGUAAAAAAAAGAAAACAAAACAAUCCCACGAAACACAAAAGGAAAAAUAUUAGUCCCCUAGCCCAAAUAUUUGCUCUUAACUGCACUAACUACAAAAAACUUGUAUAGAGAAUGAUCCCACUAUGUCUGGGCUCUGGGGAUUUAGGACACAAACCUCCUUGGCAGAAGAGGGUUGGAUUUGGCUCACUCUAACUUCAGUGUCCAUCUUUGGACCAAAGCUCAACUGGGCUUGAAACUUGGGCUUCCUGGUCCCGUGAGCUGGAAGACCAGGGCUGCAUCAGCAAUGACUUUCCAAUUGCGGACACCGAAACUGUAUGGAAGCACUUGUAUCAGCUGAAUGUUCUCCAUCCCAUGGGGCCUGAUGGGGUCCAUCCCAGAGUCCUGAAGGAAUUAGCAGGUGUCACGGCAGGAGUGCUUCCAUACAUCGACCAACAGCCUGGGAAUGCAGGUAGGUCCCUGCUGACUGGAAGCUCUCCAGUGUUCUUCCAGUUUAUCGGAAGGGUUGAGGGAAGACGCAGGGAAGAACAGAACUCAUAGUCAAUGCUCAUUCACUUCCCUGACAGUGAUGGAGAAAAUCAUCCUAUUGAAAGGCAUUUCAAGGACAAUGCAAUUGUCAGACAAAGUCAACAUGGGUUCAGGGAAGGCAAGUCCUGUCAAACUAUUUUGAUCUCCUUCUGUGAUAAGGUGUCAAGGAGGCACCCCAAAGUCAUUUUUAGGUGGACA